UAAUUACAUGUCGACUCAACUACCCUUUUCGGCGAUCUAAAACAUGACAUUGAGUCGUCAGUGGAUUCUGCUGUAGUGCUGUAAAUUUUUCGAAUCUGAAUGAUCUCAGCUCACUUGUGCUUCCCUUGCAAGAGAGAUUUUCAUAAUUUGGUAUGCAAACUGAUUCAGUCAAAGCUGUUCAUGACAUAACAAUCAGGUUUUGUAUUAAGGAAUUCUCUGUUGCAGGAGGUUGGAAUGGAAAGUAAGAGGAACUGAGGUCAUUCAGAUUGGAAAACCCCAUGUGAUACGCACCCUUCAUGAACUCAAUGAACAUCCAAGCAGCUGAAACUUAAGCAAAAUGUUAGGCCCAGGGCUGGCAGUGUGUGCAGGCUUGUGUGCUGCCUUGGCAUCUGUGAGUGCAAAGCUGGCAAUGACAGGGGAGGUGGCCCUGAGCUAUUGUAUACUGGGGCUUGACACAUAUGGUGUUAUCGCCAGCCAGGAGAUCUGCAACACUGUGAUAUACUACCUCAGGGCAUCAUUCUUUGCAAUGAUAUUCCUCUGGAAUGCACUGAUGUGGACGUUCUUUGUGAAGGCUUUACAAGGCUGCAGCAGCUCGUUGGAGGCAACAGUGACAAAUACAGCUUCCAAUUUUUUCUUCACGGCUGUAUUGGGGAGAGUUCUGUUUGGAGAGACAUUAUCCCUUGUUUGGUGUCUGGGUGCUUCUUUGAUAGUGUUGGGUCUUUUGCUGAUACAUAAAGGAAACUCUACGGAAAAGAUGGCUAAGAAGACAGAGUGAUGUUUUUGUAGGAUCAAUUCAUUAUCUGACUACAUAAAGCUAGUCUACACUGAUUACACAAAUGUUGCCAAACAAACUGUCAAGGAUGCUGCAGACCAUCCCUUCAGAGCCACAUGGUACACAACUCUAAUAGGAGGCUUUUUGUAUUCAUGGCACACCAAUCCAGAUGAACGAAGUUUUCGAAUAAAACUAAUUCAGAACACUAACGAUUUACUCGCAGUUAGCCAUCUUGUUCGGAACCCAAACAGUGAUAGGCACAUGCAGAUGUUGGCACAGGCAGUAAACCAUGAUGAACUAAGGCGGCUGAACCUGGGUAUAUGCUCAGUGAUGUAUUUGAAGGAUUAUGGUUCGGAUGUGGACCUGUAUGCCGCCCACUGUAAGUCUGUUUCCUGGAGGUGGUGGCAGUUCAAGGAUCAAAUCGUGGAUGUAGGAAUGUGGAACUACUGGUUUAGACUGACCUCCAUGAUGUCAGAAUAUGAUGUUAACCCAGAGGAGUGGAGUUGAUGAAAGAGGACACUUAUUUCUUUAGGAGAAUUGAUGUACAUGUUGCAGUUUUUCAAUUUGUUCAUAUUUUACUAGCACAUUUAUGAUUCUCUUUAAUAAACUCCUUCAAUUAAAUUUUAAAAUACUACCCCAAUAUGGUUUUUGACUGUAGCUACAAGUAUCGAGUCAGACUAAUGUGACUGGCUUCUGGUGAAAUUUGAAGACUGUAUAUUCAUCAUAUUGAAGGUUGACUGACUUAGGCCCAACCUUUUUCAAAGGCCACACUUUCAUAUACAGGGCAGGUAUACCAUAUGAAAUAUACCAAUACCAGAACCAUUUAGUGAUGUGCUGUAUUUGAAGUUAAAGCAUGGGUGUCUUUGUAUGAACAGAGCAUCGUUUCAAGUUUUUUUUAAAUAAAAAGUAAGUUGAUGGAA